UGCCAAGGAAGACAAAAUUUAUCCGCGCUACCGAAUGUACCCUGUGGAUAACGAUAAAAUAUUGGUUGAAUUUCUUCGGCUGAGGUU
rnacentral:snoRNA from 1 species